rnacentral:rRNA from 1 species
CCCUUAGAUGUUCGGAGCUGCACGCGCGCUACACUGAUGCAUUCAACGAGUUUUUCCUGGUCCGAGAGGAAUGGGUAACCUUUUGAAAGUGCAUCGUGCUAGGGAUAGACUAUUGCAAUUAUUGGUCUUCAACGAGGAAUUCCUAGUAGACGUAGUUCAUCAGACUGCAUCGAUUACGUCCCUGCCCUUUGUACACACCGCCCGUCGCUCCUACCGAUUGGAUGAUCCGGUGAGCUAUUCGGACCUUCGCUUCGUCGAUUUUCGGCUUUGUGAGGGAAAGUCUCGCGAACCUUAUCAUCUAGAGGAAGGAGAAGUCGUAACA